AGGCAGCUUUUCAGACUUUAUUCUAUGUGGUAGACUUUCUUUCUAUCUUAUUGAAUUAUUUAACGUAUUAAAUAUAAAGGGGUUAAGAAAAAAACUGCUCAGAAUCCCCUUUAGUUUCUAGGACAGAUUUUUAACUGGGACUUCGCUAACACUAAAAUAGCCAGCAUUCCUAGUCCACCAUGGAGCUUGCCUUCUAGUGAGGGGCACGGACAAAAACAGGUGACUUUUUUAGAUGGGAGGUGGGCUGGGAGUCCCGUGGGGGCAUUCUAAGGAGGCAGCAUUUAAGCAAGACCUGAAGGAUGAAGAGGAGCUGGGAGCGUGGCAGAGGCUUGCCUGGCAGAGGGGACAACUCAUACAGGAGCCUUGAGAUCUGAAAGAGGCUGAUGCUGCCAGUAACUGAAAGGCAGGUGUGGCUGGGACAGAGUGGCAGGAGGUGAGAUGAGAGAAAAGCAAGGGUGAGUGGCGCAGGUUUAGCUCGCGUGGGUCAGCAGGAAGCUGCUGCCGGACGGUGCUGAGUUCCCACUGUGCAUAGAGGUGACACGCUGCCCAGAAGAGGUGGCCCGCCUGUGGGCACCAGCGUGUGUACACUGAGGCUGAGUGGGCUCCGUACGAGUCCCAGGAGGAGCAAGGGGUGCCCUGGGCUAGGCGGAUGGUCGUGACAUGGAGGGAGCUGGCAGCAGCUGAGGUGUUUUGCAUGUAGAUGGCUCAAACAUUUCCCAUUUCAAAACCGCCUUGUCUCAAGUCUCUCCUCAGCUUCUCCUAUCCUCCUUUGGCCCCAUGUCACGUGGAGGCUGCACUGCCCUCUGUCCUAGUCACCAAACAGAAACAAACACACUUAGUCUGAUGUGGUGUCCGAUGCGGUAGAUGAUCAUCUGGCCAUUAGGGUUUCCUGUCUCUGGUGGCGGUGGCAGCCGCUGUCUCUGAAAUUCUCUCCAGCCCCUGCUUGUGGAGCAGAACCCUUUCCUGGCUUUCUUCCCACAUUGCUGCUUUAAUCUUUUCCCUCUAAGGUCUCUACCCCAUUCUUUUUUCAUCAUUAAGGUAUGUAUUUAAUAGUAAUCUGAAAAACAGCCUUCGGGAGGCCAAGGCGGGAGCCUCACUUGAACAGGAGUUCAAGACCAGCCUAGGCAACAUAGUAAGACCCAUCUCUACAAAAAAUCAAAACAUUAGCCAGGUGAGGUUGUGCGCACCUGUAGUCCCAGCUACUUGGGAGGCUGAGGCAGGAGGAUCACUUGAGCCUGGGAAGUCCAGGCUGCAAGGAGCUGAGAUUGUACCACUGCACUCCAACCUGGGUGACAGAGCAAGUUCUUGCCUCAAUUAAAAGAAUAAUAACGGAAGCCAGCUCUUCCAGGAAACCAUAGCUAUGCAGUAAUUCAUGGCUUCUAUGAUACUAGUGCAUUUUUUAUUAGGCUCGGACAGAAACACCACAACUGUCCCACUUCAAAUGCCCAGGAACAAUGUAGACAAAUUCCAAAGAAUGGGUUGUUUGCUGUGAACACCAUGGAAAGAAAAAAGGCACAGAGUCUGACUUUAUCUUUUGGCCCUGAGCCUAGGGCCAUCCUGCCCUAUUGUAAUAGGAAAGGACAGUCUCAACAGCAGAGUCACCAGCACUCCCUCAGCUUCACAGCAAUGCAGUAAAGCCCCCGGUGGCCUGUUCCCUGGGGCGCAUUGUCACAUACACUGGCAGAAGCUUUGAAAUGAGAAGUGCUACAUUUAAAACAUUAAAAAUUUAAAUAUUUCAGUUACGACCAUGUAACGAGAGAGACUUAAGGUUCCAAGAGGCAGAAUCAUGAUGUUUUUAACUGUGCUUACUAGACUUAAAUGUGUUCCUAGAUAAGGCGGCCUCAGCACUUCCAUCAGGUUUCCAGCUAUGCCUGGGAGGACUCCCGCUCCCAUCACCUUCUGGCAGAGUUGAAGAAUCCUUUCCCAAAUAUCUAAAGAAAUUGGGUAAAUAUCAGCAAAGCAAGGUUCUUCUCGUGGGGAGGUGAGUAGACCGACGGUGCCCGUUUGCACAAUGUGCUCCGUGCUCCAGCUCAGUGCCCAGCGCCACUCUGAAGUCUCGUUUUCUUCCUGCCGUGCCGUUGACAGCACAGCUUUAUGUGUAGUUCCUGGAGGCUCCUUCAAGCGUUCAGGACCUUCUAAAAUGGAAGCCAUGUUCUACUUGCUAGGAGGGUCAGCUGUCUGCUCAUCCCCCGUCAGCCACAGCCUUACUCCAGGUCUCUGGGAAUCUUGCAUCCCGGCCCUGCUUGCUCCUGUGUCCUCAGACCCCAUGGUGGGUCCAUCGAGCCCUUCAGGGGCCGAGAUCUCAGUGGGACCCUGUCUCUGGUGCCAGGGUUUUGCCUGUGACGUGUCCCAGCUGGUACUACAGACUCUCCAUCCACUUUGUCCUGAGGAUGCUCCAGCAUCCGUCCCGGGGCCAGCGCCCUCGUUGCCUAGAGCAGGCCUGCUUGCGGCUCCCUGUGCAGUUUCUGAUGCUCUGUUCCUGCAAGGGUUCUCGUUUUUGAAGACACUACUCCUGGGUCCCAGAAAUUCUUUUAACCUAGUUUUUAUCCUAACCACAGAAAUGUUAAAAGUAUUCCUUCUUCCUUGAUGGCAACCUUACGAAACUUUGCUUCCUGAAGAACAAGUCGAUGCAGGCGGAGCACACGAGGUGUAUGACUUCUCAGCGGAGGCCCCACUCAUAGGUGACCCCUCCUCCUCCCACUACCCUCCCUCACUCCAGCCCUGCUAUUCCCACUGCUGCCAACUCCACAGCCUCAACUUUGUGUGUACGUUUUAAAUACUAGCACCCCCCACACUUUUCUCAACUCUUCUCAUCCUCUGCUCUCGCCACGCUGACUUCGGCCAAACCUACAACGUAACCCAACAUGGUGGGAACAGCGUUCCAGACGCCUCUCUUCUGAGCUCUAGACCCCUGGCACGACCCUGCAGCCUGCCCACUCGGCCCGCAGAAGCUCCACUGCAGAGACUUCAUCCUUUUUCUCUUCCCCAGAACCAUUCCACCAAUAUCUCCUCACUCGGAAUGGCAGCUACCCGCUCCCAGGCGCCCACACCAGAGCCCCGCGCCAUCCUCACGCUCUGCAGCCUGCCCGGCUCAGGGCUUCAAUCCAGCAGCCCCAGCCAGGAAGACGCUUCGCUUUCAGAACAGAACGACCUGCUAUUCCCUGACCUUGAAAUGCAUGCGCCUGCCUCGAUGCUUCCUAACUGCUGUGCGUUCCGCCGGGACCUCGUCCAUCCCAAGGCCGCCUGGCCUGCUCCAGGAAGUUCUCCCGCCCUCUUGCCCGCUGUGGGAGUGCGCAGCCCCGUUCUGUGUUUUCUUGCUCUUCAAGAAGCCAGAGAUGCGCGCCUUCUCAUUUCCCUGCGGACCCCCACUCAGACAGGAAGGAAGGAUUUUUGGAAACACAUACUCUUGAUAGCGGUUUUCUGUGCGACCGCGUCGGUAAUCGAAGUUGCGGCGGCCCCGGUGCUGAGGUGGCUGGUGACCUUGGGUCUCAUCUCCCGGAUUGUCUUUAUCCUCUUCCUCGCUGUCCUCUACAGGCCGUCUUGGGUGAGGUGGGUCCUGCGGAAUCGUGGUCUGCGUCCCCGGUACACUCGCUGCCCCGCUGGUGUCCCCGCUCCCCGCGCUGUCACCCCCGCAUCGCUGCUCCCGGCCGCCCCGGAGGCUGGAGAACUGCGGCCUCCAUGGAGGAAAGUGGGACUCUGCGGUGGGGCCCGCGUGGUGGGCCUGGCCCGCGGCAGCGCUGUCUCAUCCCUCCUUCCGUUCCCCACGGAGGAUUCUGGUGAUUCUGCCGGUGACGGCGGGGAGGUCCCGCGUCUGCAGUGGUUACGGUGGCCGCAGGUUUACUGCCUUGACCUGGGCCCCACCAGGCCCUGGAACACUUGCCGCCGCCUCGCCCUUUUCUCCCUCAACAUCGGACUCCGCGGCCUCCGCAGCUCCCCCGCCGCCAGGGUCCUCCCCGGGGUUCUCCUUCACGGCAGUCUGAUGAACACACAUCUUCCUUGGUGACGUUCCUGUUGAUGAAACCGUAUCUGUUGCUUACCCUGAACCAUUUGUUCCCCAAACGGCGGGGGUGACGGUGCCUGGGCUCCUCCCGGGCUGUGGUGGCAACUAGGCCACAGCGGCGGUGGGGCUGCCCAGGGCUCUCUGGGACCCGCUCCCCGCUCCCCGCUCCCGAUCGAACUCUCUAGGCCUGUUUAAAUCACCUUUUUCUCCCGGUGACGGUUAUAUAUAUUUUUUAGACGGAGUCUCGCUCUGUCGCCCAGGCCGGAGUGCACUGGCGCGGUCUCGGCUCGCUGCAAGCUCCGCCUCCCGGGUUCGAGCGAUUCUCCCGCCUCAGCCUCCCGAGCAGCUGGGACCGCAGGCGUGUGCUACCGCGCCCGGCUAAGUUUUUCUAUUUUUAGUAGAGACGGGUUUUCCCCAUGUUGGCCAGGCUGCUCUGGAGGCGAUCUGCCUGCCUCGGCCUCCCAAAGUGCUGGGAAUCCAGGCGUGAGCCACCGCGCCCGGCUGGUUUCCACCUUUGGAAGCUUGUUCUUGAAGCACUUUUCCGACGAGUCUGACAGCGUCUUUACCCUUGGCCGAGUCCAGCCCCACUCCUAAGGCAUGGCCCUUCGGGGAAUGCCCUGGGCGCCCCGAAUACUCAGUGGGGCCUGUUACUUGGCUGGUGGCAGCUUCAGUGAUUUCCAGCCCCACCUGAUCUUUGGGAGCUGUUCAGUUUAGAGCCUCCCAGCCUCAGGAGUAAGUUUCCACGGGCCGACUGCAACACGGCUAGACUCCAGGCGCCCCUGGGCAGGUUCUGGCCCUUCUCUCUGUUUAGCUCCUUCCUCUCCUUCAUCCUCCGAUGCGAAUUCCAGCCACCUUAGCCUCCCUGGACUCUGGUGUCCAUCUCGACCUGCAGGAUGAUGGGCCUCUUUUUAAGUUCCCCUCCCUAUGCCAAAGUCAGAAAACUGUCCUAGGUGGGGAGAGUCUUGGGCUCACCCGUUUCUGGGGCUUUACUGUCCCGCCACUCCCUGGGAGCCACUGGCUGAAGAGGUUCUGCAUGUUUUUCUUUCUAGUCUCUAGUUUUUUACUCCAGGAGGACAAGCCCAGAUCCUGUUACUCCUUCUUGGCCAGAAGCAGAACUUGUGUUUUUUGUUUAAAAUGUUUCCUUCUUGUCAAAUUCUACUUUUUUAAAGGCCUUAUUAUGUCUUUGCCCCCGUGUUCCUCCUUAUCUAUUCUUAAUUUCUCACACUUCUUGAGUUCUGCCACCACAUUCUGAGUUUUCAGAUUUGCUGUAUUUGGUCCUCUCAUGUCACUCUCCUCAUAACUUAAGCUCAUUUUUGAAUCAGUAUGUUACAGUUUGGGUCGGUUCUGUGAGCAUCUCCUUCUGGAGUGCUUUCAUUAUACAAAUGCCAUUUAGCUCUCUUUUUCUUCUUAUACUUUGUAUGGGACUUGGCCUUGAUCGUCUUCUGUUGCUCAUCUGGUGGGAACUGAGUUUCUCAACAUGGAGGAGCGUGGCCCAGACGGCUUUCCCACGCAGGGGAGCAUGGUCCAGAUGGCUUUCCCACGUGGGGCAGCCUGGCUCAGACGGCUUUCCCACGCAGGGGAGCAUGGUCCAGACGGCUUUCCCACACCGGGGAGCGUGGCCCAGACGGCUUUCCCACGCUGGGGAGCCUGGUCCAGACGGCUUUCCCACACCGGGGAGCGUGGCCCAGACGGCUUUCCCACACGGGCAGCCUGGCUCAGACGGCUUUCCCAGCCUCGCAGAGCUCCCUCUUCUGUUUUCCUGCACUGCUAAAGCUAUGGUCACUCCUUCUGCCAAUGCUUGGCUUCACUUCCCUCUACUUCUCCAAGCUGUGUCCUUUUUCUUUAUUCUUAUUCACUUACUACUGUUUCUCUAUUAUCCCUGUCUUGCUCAAUUUUGAUUCCACUCCCUGGCAGUUUCAUCAGUUCAAAGGAACUAGAAGUCUUCAUCCCCUAAGCCCUCCCUCCCCCAGGGACCCCUGCCGCUGCCUAGUGCUGGAGAGGCAGACGCCCCCGCAGUGUUUGCUGCACUGAUUCCUCGGUUUCCUGCGGCCACCAUUGCCUUUCCAUGUCCUCCGCUCCUCAACACACCGUCUGCCUGGAGCUUGCCUGGCUUUCUGCCACACAGGUCUCAGGCAUCCAGCUCCUCCUACCUGCUUUAGAGAAUUUGCAGCUACCUUGCCACCUACCUACUUUGAAAAUACCAUCCAUGGGUUUUGGGUUUGCCUCUCUAGUUGCUUUAAUUUUAUGUGGAUGUUGACUAGGCAAAAUCUGAAAGCUGUGUUGCAACCUUUCCUGCAAUUUCCUGAGAAGCCCCCAUGUGGGUCUGUUUUAUUUCAGCCAUUUUAAUGGAUGUAAAGUGGCAUCUGAAUGUCGUUUUAAUUUGCAUUUCUUUGAUGACCAUGAUACUGAACACCUUUUCAUAUAUUGAGCUAUUUAUACUUUGGUGACAUAUCCAAAUAUUUUGUCCAUUUUGAAAAUUGGGUUGUCUUUUUAGUACUGAAUUUUAAACACAAACCCUUGAAUACAGUUGUGGCUUUUUUCAUUUUCUCAAUGGUGUCUUGAUAAACAGAAGUUUAAUUCUGAAGUUCAAUUUGUUAAUAUUUUAUGGCUAGUUCUUUUAAAAAAAAAAAAGUUUUAUUAAAGACAGGAUCUCACUAUGUUGCCCAGGCUGGUCUCUAACUCCUGAGCUCAAGCAAUCCUCCCACACUGGCCUCCCAAAGUGUUGGGAUUACAGGCAUGAGCCACCUGUGCCUGGCCUUUAUCUUUUUCAAAUAGAGACGGGUUCUCACUAUGUUGACCAGGCUGGUCUGGAAACUUCUGGCUUCAAGCGAUCCUCCUGCCUUGGCCUCCCAAAGUACUGGGAUUGCAGGCAUGAUCCACCAGGCCUGGCCAAUGGCUGGCUCUUUAAUGAGUGCUUAGGGAAUCUUUGCCUACCCUAAAGUCAUGAAGAUAUUCUCCUACAUUUUCUUCUAAAAGCUUUGUAAUUUUAGUUUUUAUGUUUAGAUCUUAAAAUAAUGUUUAUUUGUGGUAUAAGGUAGUGGCAGGGGUGUCACAGGUAAUUUCUGUCCACAGGGAUAUCAGAUUCUUGCAGCACCAUGUGUUAUAGUAAUUUUCCCCUCCCCACUGCAUUGUAUUGGCUCCUUUGCUGCAAAUCAAUUGGCCAUAUAUGUGUGGGUCUAUUUCUCUUCCACCAAUCAAUUCAUUAUCCGUAAGUCCACAGCAUAGUAAGUCGAAUUAGUGUAAAUCCUCCAACUUUAUUUCUUUCAAAUUAUUUUGGCCACUCUUAGUCCUAUGCAUUUCCAUAUCAAUUUUAAAAUUAAAUUAUCAGUUUCCACAAAAAGCGUACUGGGAUUUUGAUUAAAAGUAGCAUUAAAUCCAUAGAUCAAAUUGUGGAGAAUUAACAUCUUAUUAACACUGAGCCUUCCAAUCAGGAAUGUAGUAUAAUUCUCUAUUUAAUCUUAAUUUUUCUCAGCAAUGUUUUCUACUUUUCAUCAUACAACUCUUACACAUAUUUUGUCAUAUGUACCCUAAAUUCUUAUAUUUUGGAUACUAUUGUAAACUGCAAUCACAAUACCAUGAACUUCAGUUUUGAGCUGUUUGUUGCCAAUAUGAAGUAUUCAUUUUUAUAUUGAUUUUUUUGUGGUCCUGAUAAAUAGUAGUUUUGAAGACGUCCUAUGAUUUUCUGCAUUACUUGAUCAUAGUCUGCAAAUAAAUACACUUUUACUUAUUCCUUCCUAAUGUACAUGGCUUUCUUUUUCUUGCUGUAUUGCGCUGGCUAGGAGAGGUGAGAACAGGUGUCUUUGCCUUGUUGCCUAUCAUCUUUCACACUGUAUGAGGCUAGCUAUAGUACCUCCAUAGAUGCACUGUAUGAAGUUGAGGAAUUUUCUUUCCAUUCCUAGUUUGCUGAGUUUUUAUCAUAAGUGGGUGUUGAAUUCUGUCAAUUUUUUUUCUACAUUUUUUUCCUGCAAGGUUGCGUAUGCCUUUCCCCCUGUAUUACUAACAAACACUGUAAAUUAUCGUAAUCAAAUCUCUAAUGUUAAACCAUCUUUGCAUUCCUGGGCAAAAACCAAAUUGUUCAUAAUGUAUCACCCUUUUUAUAUGUUGCUGGAUUUGAUUUGCUAAUUUUUGUAAGGAAAUUUUUCUAUAUUCAUGUAGGAUAUAAAAAUCGUCUGUGCUCUACCUGCUCAUCCCUCCCUCCCUGUGUUAGCUGGGUUCUCCAGAAAAACAGAACCAAUAGGAUGUAUAGAAAUACAGAAAGAUUAUGAGGGACUGAGAUACUCUAUGAUUUACUGCCUGCAAGGUGGAAGCCCAGGAAAGGCAGUGAUGUUGUUCCAGCCCAAGGCUGAAGGCUGAGGCCCAGGGGAGCCAAUGAUGCAGGUCCUGGUCUGAGUCCAAAGGCCUGAGAGCCAGAACGCUGACAUCUAGCUCCAAGGAGAGAGCAAGUCACCCUUCCUUCACCUUUUUGUUCUAUUUGGGCUCCCAAUGGAUUGAGUGGUGCCCACCCACAUUCGUGAGAGAGGAUCUUCUUUCCUGAGUCUGCUGAUUCAAACACUAAUCUCUUCUGGAACCACCCUCACAGACACUCGCAGAAAUCAUGUCUUACAGCUACCUGGGCAUUCUUUAGCUCAGUCAAGUUGACAUAAAAUCAACCAUCACACUCUCCCAUAACCCCUAGCAAGCAGUGAUCUUUUUGUCUUUGCCUUUUCCAGAAUGCCAUAUAAUUGGAAUCGUACAAUAUGUAGCUUUUUCAGAUUGGCUUCUUUCACUGAGUAAUAUAUUCUUAACAUCCCUCCAUGACUUUUCAAGGCUUAUGGCUUAAUUCUUCUCAGCACUGAAUGUUCCAUCGUCUGAAUGUACUAUAGUUCAUCCAUUCAUGCACUAAAGGACAUCUUGCUUCCGGGUUUCGGCAGUCCUGAAUGAAGCCGCUAUAAAACAUUCCUGUACUAAAGGACAUCUUGCUUGCUUCCAGGUUUCAGCAAUCAUGAAUAAAGCUGCUAUAAAACAUUCCUGUACUGAAGGAUAUCUUGCUUCCAGGUUUCGACAGUCAUGAAUAAAGCUGCUGUAAAAUCCAUGUGCAGGCUUCGUGUGGUUUUCAGCUCCUUUGGGUAAACACCAAGGAGCACAACUGCUGGAUCAUAGGUUAAGAGUAUGUUUAGGAAGAAACUUGCCAGAGUGGCUGUACCACUUUGCACUCCCACCAGCAGUGAAUCAGAGCUCCUGCUGUUCAGCAUGCUUUUUAGUAUCUGUAGACUCUAGUGCGCUUGCAACUCAUUCCUGAUGUUGGUAAUUUCAGGGUGGUUUUUUUUUUUGUUUGUUUUUUGUUUUUUUUUGGCUAGAGGUUUAUCAAUUUUAUUGAUCUCUCAAAUCAGCUUUUAGCUUUAUUUUCUCUGUUUUGUUUCAUUCAUUUCUGUUCUGGUAUUUAAUAUUUCAUUUCUGCCUCUUUGUCUAACUUGCUCUUUUUCUGUUAAGAUGGAAGCUAAAGUCAUUGAGACUUGUAUCCUUUUCUAAUAUAGGUGCUUAAUGCUAUAAAACUUCCAAGUACUGCUUCAGCUGCAUGCCACACACUGUUGUAUUUUCAUUUUUGGUCAGUUCAAAAUAGCCUUUUGAUUUUUUUCUCUGACCCAUAAGGUAUUGGGAAGUGUGCUAGUUUUUUAUAAUAUUUGGAGAUUUUUCCAAGUGUCUGUUAUUGAUUUCUAUUCUACUUUGCAUGACUUGAAUUUCUAUACGUAUAUCACACCUUGCUCAAUAUCCCAGAAUAUGGUCUAUCUUGGUAAAUGUUCCAAGUAUUGUGUUGCUGGGUAGUGUCAAUUAGGCCAAGAUGGUUGUUUUUCUGUCUACUUGUUCUAUCAAUUAUUGAGAGGUGUGUUGAAAUCUCUUACUACAAUUGUGGAUGCGUGUACUUCUUGCAAUUUUAACAGAACUUUGGGAUUAUUUCUUCUUGAUAAGUUGAACCUUUUAUUCAUGAAAUGACCCUCUAUAUCAUCUGUAGUAAUAUUCUCUGUGCUGAAAUCUACUUUGUCUAUCUAUUCAGAUGUCUUUCAUAUAUCUAUCUUCCCAUCCUUCUAAUUUUAAUGUAUUCAUAAAGUGAGUUUCUUACAGGCAGCAUAUAGUUGGAUCUUGCAUUUUUAUCUAAUCUGCCUUUUAACUGUGGCAUUUACAUUCAUUACACUUAAUGUGAUUAUUGACACUGUUGGAUUUCAAUCUGCCAUCUUGCUGCUCUUGUUUUCCAUAUGUACCAUCCUGGCCUUUGAAGUCAAAUGACAGAUAAAAUAUUUAGGAUGUGGCAAACUGUUUUGUGGUUCAGAUAAAAUAUCUGAGUGCAUCCCCUGCAAUAUGAGACCAUCUCUCCUCUUAAGAUGUGGUUUGGGAGGAAACUUCACUUUAUAUUUCAGAAUUUUUAGUAUAUGCAGGUGAUUCCCAAAUGUAUUCUCUAAUUGAGCUACGUCUUCCAAGAGUCUGACCUCUAUAUCCAACUGCCGGUUGAGCAGCUCUCCCUGGGUGCUGCACAGGCAACUUUGAUGUCCAGUAUCUAAGGUCACACAGCUCAAGCUAAGAAACUGGGACGCGUCUUGAGAGGCAGAGGACUCUACCGAGCCUACUGGGUCAUCACCUGAAUCCAAGAGCAUGCAACACACCUCAGACCAGAGGCCCCAAUACAAGACAAAAUAUCCUAAAUAAUCAAAAGGAUUCUUUAUUAUGUAGAUUGUAUCAUAAUUCAUCAAAAUAAUUUUAUAAUUAACUGCCAUACUGUCUUAUAAAUGAUGCCUUCUGAAGUUAAACAUAAUAUAGAUUCAGUUUUUUAAAAUGAUCUACUUACAACAUACUAAACAAAUAAUAGAAGUUUUUUUUUUUUUUAAAGCACUAUCUCCUAUGAAGUCUAAGAAAGGAAAUCAUGACAAGUUCCUGAUCAGAUAAAAACCACUGCAUCAUUAAAGGGGAUUAAAAAGAGGCAUAAAUAAAUCUGAAUAGAAAUAUCCA